CUCCUACCCAUUUGUAAGAAUGGGCAAGGUCUCCAAAUUUUUAAAUGCUUGCUGCAUUUCUAAUGACUGUGGAUGUGGUGGGAGGGUUUGCUGCUGACUUCAGUGGGAAGAGAGCUGGAGAUUAGCCAUGGGUUAGAAACUUGCUGGGUUAUAGCUGCAGUCAGUUCUGUUGAAGAAUGUUUCAUUUAUUUCCAUAGAAUUACUUGCUUAUUACAAUUAUUUUUCUAAUGCAGAGCUCCAGGAAGUGAGGUUAUUAUACUGCAGUGGCUGAAAGGAAGGGCUGAGGUGGCUGGAUGUGCCAUGUGUAUAUGUAUGUGUAUAUUACAUAUCUAUAUAUUUGAUAUAUAUUUUGAGUAUCCAGGAUCUGGCUCUGACAGAUGCGUCAGAGGGGCAGUGGCAUAUGGUCGCAGACUCUCUCCAGUGCAAGAUGGAGCAUACAUUGGAAAGCUGUGAAUUGACAGCCUGAAAACUGCUGGUAAAAUUGUCGCUCUUCAGACAGAACCUAUUUUGGGGCACCCAAACAGGAAAUAAGCAGUCUUUCCUUUUUCUUAGCUUAAUGUUUUGUCAGCAGUGGAGUGGUUCAGGUUCUACAGAUCACAUCAUGGCAAAUAUCUGGUGGUAGUUUUGGAGGGUGCUUUCUGUCCCUGAUAAUCGUCUUUUAAAAUAAAUUCCUCUGAAAGGUAUCCAGUUGCUAAGGUGCAUUCCUCUUUUUAAGUCCCGUGUUGCAGGUGUUUUUCAGUGGUAAAGGAAACCCUGCACUGUCCCUCCUCAAAGUCAUCUCGUGCCGUUUUUGCUGAACUGCAGAAAUGCUGUAAGAGUAGUUUCAGAUGCUUUCAGGCCACAGGUGCCUAGACUAGCUGGCCUCAAGAGCAAGCCAGGCUUCAGGUUCACAAGACCUCUCCCGUCACAAAGAAAAGCGGCAAGCGGAAGCUCUCCUGGCUCACCUACAGCGUCUCAGCUUACUGCUGCUUCUCUGGCAUAGUGGAAAGAAAACUUGGCUUUAAAAGAAGAGUUCAAACAGGAAGCAGUGACAUUCCAGAGAGAUUUCCGAGUCAAACAGGAGAGCAACGGGCUUCUCAAAAAUAUGUGUUUCAGAGAUUUCCUAAAACAAUCGGUUACAGAGUUAGAGCACGUUUAGUAGGGAGAGGUCGAAAGAACUCAGUGUUCUCGCGCCUCAGCCAUCCCUAUCAGAAGAAUUUGAGGAGCUUCUCUGCACUGCGGGCUGGAAUACAGCUCGCAGAUAAAACCUUUCAAGUCCUGAGAGGCCUGCAAUAACAGUGACAGUCUUGACGUCAGCAAACACGCAUCU
rnacentral:lncRNA from 1 species